GUGUAAACAGAUAGUGAGUUACUAUAAUAGAUUACACACAGUGAAUACCAGAAAAAAAAAAAGUCCCCAAAAAUUAGGUUCAACAUCUGAGCCAUGAGCAAAAUGAAACUUCUUUUCUGGAUAGAUCGGUGACAGAAUUAUGUCCUAAACCUAGCAUAGCUACAUAUACCACAAGAUAAUCACAUAAAUUACUGAUGGCCUAUAGUUUGGACAAAGCACACCAUUGUUUUCAGCACUAUACAUUCCACACGACAACAUCAUAAAGCUACAUCUGCAAGAGCAGCCUCAUCUCCCCAUGCAUUUUGUUAAUCUCCCACCUGCAUUCUAUCUCUUCCGUCGCUUGGUCUCUAACUUGCCAUCGGCUGCCGGUGACGAAGAAAAUCCAUUCUGUGAUCUUUUGAUAUCAUCAUCUGAUCCACAUUCAGAACAAACAAAGUGAUCUAACUUCUUUGCUUCUUCAAUGGUCAUGCCCACACAAGCAGGAUGAUACCAGUCCUUGCAACCUUCGCAUUGCACCAUAAGAUCAUCCGGGUUAUAUGGCAUCUCGCAUUUACAAUACACAGCAACGCGGUCAGGCGUGAAGCCUCC
rnacentral:misc_RNA from 1 species